GCGGUGAAAUGCGUAGAUAUCGGGAGGAACACCUGAGGCGAAGGCGGGCUACUGGGCCGAGACUGACGCUGAUGCGCGAAAGCCAGGGGAGCGAACGGGAUUAGAUACCCCGGUAGUCCUGGCCCUAAACGAUGGACACUUGGUGUGUCGGGUAUUCCAGUCCCGAUGUGCCGGAGCUAACGCGUUAAGUGUCCCGCCUGGGGAGUACGGUCGCAAGGCUGAAACUCAAAUGAAUUGACGG
rnacentral:rRNA from 1 species